rnacentral:rRNA from 1 species
AUUGAACGCUGGCGGCAGGCCUAACACAUGCAAGUCGAGCGGAGCGGCGGACGGGUGAGUAAUGCCUAGGAAUCUGCCUGGUAGCGGGGGAUAACGUCCGGAAACGGGCGCUAAUACCGCAUCCUAUCAGAUGAGCCUAGGUCGGAUUAGCUAGUUGGUGGGGUAAAGGCCUACAAAGGCGACGAUCCGAAAACGGUCUGAGUGGAUGAUCAGUCACACUGGAACUGAGACACGGUCCAGACUCCUACGGGAGGCAGCAGUGGGGAAUAUGGAACAAUGGGCGAAAGCCUGAUCCAGCCAUGCCGCGUGUGUGAAGAAGGUCUUCGGAUUGUAAAGCACUUUAAGUUGGGAGGCGUUACCAACAGAAUAAGCACCGGCUAACUUCGUGCCAGCCGCCGCGGUAAUUC